UACGUAGGGUGCGAGCGUUGUCCGGAAUUAUUGGGCGUAAAGAGCUCGUAGGCGGUGUGUCACGUCGGCCGUGAAAACCUGGGGCUUAACUCUGGGCGUGCGGUCGAUACGGGCAUCACUAGAGUUCGGCAGGGGAGACUGGAAUUCCUGGUGUAGCGGUGAAAUGCAUAGAUAUCAGGAGGAACACCGGUGGCGAAGGCGGGUCUCUGGGCAACUACUGACGCUGAGGAGCGAAAGCGUGGGGAGCGAACAGG
rnacentral:rRNA from 1 species